GAUGAACGCUAGCGGCAGGCUUAACACAUGCAAGUCGAGGGGUAUAGUUCUUCGGAACUAGAGACCGGCGCACGGGUGCGUAACGCGUAUGCAAUCUACCUUUCACAAAGGGAUAGCCCCAGAGAAAUUUGGAUUAAUACCUUAUAGUAAUACGACUUGGCAUCAAGAUGUAUUUAAAGAUUUAUCGGUGAAAGAUGAGCAUGCGUCCAUUAGCUUGUUGGUAAGGUAACGGCUUACCAAGGCAACGAUGGGUAGGGGUCCUGAGAGGGAGAUCCCCCACACUGGUACUGAGACACGGACCAGACUCCUACGGGAGGCAGCAGUGAGGAAUAUUGGACAAUGGGCGCAAGCCUGAUCCAGCCAUGCCGCGUGCAGGAUGACGGUCCUAUGGAUUGUAAACUGCUUUAUACAGGAAGAAACACUCCGACGUGUCGGAGCUUGACGGUACUGUAAGAAUAAGGAUCGGCUAACUCCGUGCCAGCAGCCG
rnacentral:rRNA from 1 species